UCCGCCACCUCAACUUCCCGCGGGCCCGCGGGCUCAGGCCGCGAUCCUCCCUCUCCGCCGCACUAGAUUCUCCAGCCCUCGCCGCCCCUCGUCCCGCCACAGCAACUCCCCCACCCGUGAGAAUGUUGGGAGAGUGGAAGAAAGCCUGUGAUCAUAGUGGUCACCAUCACUCCACACCCGGACAGAGCACCGACCAUCUCACACCUGGUCAUGGAGCAGCAGAUAGAAAGGAGGCUCUGGACAAUCUGCUGACGAAGAUGUGUUAGAUGUGUAUGUGGAGUGAUGGAAUAAAAGCAAGUUUUAAUAGGAUAAACUACUGAACUAAUUAAGAAAAGGCAAAAAUCCCAGGAGAAAAAUGAGCAGAGGAUAUGAAUAGACUGUGCAAAAAUAAAAUGACUAGGAAAUUAUGUGAAGCGCCCUCUCCUGGAACCUCUGAGACAGCACAUGCCAGGCUGCAAUGACUGCACCCUGCACUCACCGGUAACAUUGAAACAAGACCAAGGGAAACAUCAAACAUCGUGCUCUACAGCCGCCCCAAACACCUAAUUAAAGCUCAAACCCCCACCCCUCAGGGCUGGUGUAUCUCUCCACACCAAGCCUCUAUUCACUCUUGGAAAGUAAAUAAAAAACUAUACU